rnacentral:tRNA from 1 species
GUGGCCUUAGCUCAAUCGGUAGAGCACUGGAUUGUGGCUCCAGAGGUCACGGGUUCGAACCCCGUAGGCCACCCCA